GACGAACGCUGGCGGCAUGCUUAACACAUGCAAGUCGAGCGGUAAGGCCCUUUCGGGGGUACACGAGCGGCGAACGGGUGAGUAACACGUGGGUGACCUGCCCUCAGCUCUGGGAUAAGCCUGGGAAACCGGGUCUAAUACCGGAUAUGACUCCAUGACGCAUGUUGUGGGGUGGAAAGCCUUGUGCGGCUGAGGAUGGGCCCGCGGCCUAUCAGCUUGUUGGUGGGGUGANGGCCUACCAAGGCGACGACGGGUAGCCGGCCUGAGAGGGCGACCGGCCACACUGGGACUGAGACACGGCCCAGACUCCUGCGGGAGGCAGCAGUGGGGAAUCUUGCGCAAUGGGCGAAAGCCUGACGCAGCGACGCCGCGUGAGGGAUGACGGCCUGGU
rnacentral:rRNA from 1 species